UGGAGCCUACGGGGGGCAGCAGUGAGGAAUAUUGGUCAAUGGGAGAGAUCCUGAACCAGCCAAGCCGCGUGAGGGAAGACGGCCCCAUGGGUUGUAAACCCCUUUUGUCGGAGAACAAAACCCGGGACGAGUCCCGGACUGCGUGUAUCCGAAGAAAAAGCAUCGGCUAACUCCGUGCCAGCAGCCGCGGUAAUACGUAGGGUGCAAGCGUUAUCCGGAUUUAUUGGGCGUAGAGGGCUCGUAGGCGGUUCGUCGCGUCCGGUGUGAAAGUCCAUCGCUUAACGGUGGAUCCGCGCCGGGUACGG
rnacentral:rRNA from 1 species